UACGAAGGGGGCUAGCGUUGCUCGGAAUCACUGGGCGUAAAGCGCACGUAGGCGGCUUUUUAAGUCAGGGGUGAAAUCCUGGAGCUCAACUCCAGAACUGCCUUUGAUACUGGGAAGCUCGAGUCCGGGAGAGGUGAGUGGAACUCCGAGUGUAGAGGUGAAAUUCGUAGAUAUCGGGAGGAACACCAGUGGCGAAGGCGGCGAUCUGGGAAGAUACUGACGCUGAGGUGCGAAAGCGUGGGGAGCAAACAGG
rnacentral:rRNA from 1 species